rnacentral:rRNA from 1 species
GUUGUAAGCACUUUUGGCAGGAAAGAACGUCUGGGUCUAAUACCCCGUGAAACUGACGGUACCUGCAGAAUAAGCACCGGCUAACUACCUGCCAGCAGCCGCGGUAAUACGUAGGUGCAAGCGUUAAUCGGAAUUACUGGGCGUAAAGCGUGCGCAGGCGGUUCGGAAAGAAAGAUGUGAAAUCCCAGAGCUUAACUUUGGAACUGCAUUUUUAACUACCGAGCUAGAGUGUGUCAGAGGGAGGUGGAAUUCCGCGUGUAGCAAUGAAAUGCGUAGAUAUGCGGAGGAACACCCAUGCCAAGCAGCCUCCUGGGAUAACACUGACGCUCAUGCACGAAAGCGUGGGGAGCAAACAGGAUUAGAUACCCUGGUAGUCCACGCCCUAAACGAUGUCUGCUAGCUGUUGGGGCCUUCGGGCCUUAGUAGCGCAGCUGACGCGUGAAGUUGACCGCCUGGGGAGUACCGUCGCAAAAUUAGAACUCAGAGGAAAUGACGGGGG